ACAUUUCUUUUCUAGAACAAAUGUUUUCAAUGCAAUAAAAGUUUUACUACUCCAACACAAGAAUAAAUUAGAUAAAAUGAAAGGAAAAUUCCUCCACAGCUGAAUUAACACAAUAGUGUGUUACCAUUUCUAGCCUCUUGCAGCUCCUUUGCUUCUUUUUGCACUAUGUCAUUAUCUUGUAUCUUGCAGUUUUGAAACCGAUAUCUCCUCUGAGACCCAAGCCACAGAGUACUUUACAGUAUCUGCAAACAGAUCCUGGCACACUGCUGAAAAUGUCUCAAUUUCAUGCUGUUAUUUGAAACUCAUAAUGUGCUACCUGAACAUGUGAAAAUUUUUUUUACUUAGAUAGUCUGAUGGACAUGAAUGAGGUUACAGGGACAAUGACUAUGGAAAGAGAAAUCAUGAAAUGUGGAGUUUUUCAAGUCUGGUGGUUGCUUGUUCCAGUUUGUCUCACAGGUAUAGAAGGCAGUAUAUAUAGUGGACUUAUAAUGCAGCACAUUCCACUCCACAUCUGAUUCAGAUGUGUUCAUCAAAACAUACCUUGGAAAGUCAAAAACACUUUAUCCAAUAAAAAG
ensembl:lncRNA